ACCAGACUCCUACGGGAGGCAGCAGUGAGGAAUAUUGGUCAAUGGCCGAGAGGCUGAACCAGCCAAGUAGCGUGCAGGAUGACGGCCCUCCGGGUUGUAAACUGCUUUUAGUUGGGAAUAAAAGGGGGCUCGUGAGCCCCGUAUUGUAUGUACCAUCAGAAAAAGGACCGGCUAAUUCCGUGCCAGCAGCCGCGGUAAUACGGAAGGUCCGGGCGUUAUCCGGAUUUAUUGGGUUUAAAGGGAGCGUAGGCCGGCUUUUAAGUCAGCUGUGAAAGUCCGCGGCUCAACCGUGGAAUUGCAGUUGAAACUGGAGGCCUUGAGUGCACACAGGGAUGCCGGAAUUCAUGGUGUAGCGGUGAAAUGCUUAGAUAUCAGGAGGAACAUCGGUGGCGUAAGCGCUUUACUGGGCCGUAAUUGACGCUGAGGAACGAAAGCCAGGGUAGCAAAUGGGAUUAGAUACCCGCGUAC
rnacentral:rRNA from 1 species